UACGGAGGGUGCAAGCGUUAUCCGGAUUCACUGGGUUUAAAGGGUGCGUAGGCGGAUAGGUAAGUCCGUGGUGAAAUCCUGCAGCUUAACUGCAGAACUGCCAUGGAUACUAUCUAUCUUGAAUGUCGUGGAGGUUAGCGGAAUAUGUCAUGUAGCGGUGAAGUGCUUAGAGAUGACAUAGAACACCCAUUGCGAAGGCAGCUAACUACGCGAUAAUUGACGCUGAUGCACGAAAGCGUGGGGAGCGAACAGG
rnacentral:rRNA from 1 species